UCUUUCCUUCUUUUUUUCUCUUCCUUCUUUUCUUUCUUUCUCUUUCUUUUUUCUUUCUCUUUCUUCCUCCCUCCUUCCUUCCCUCCCUCUCUUUCUCUCUUACUCUUUCUUUCUUUCUUUCUUUCUUUCUUUCUUUCUUUCUUUCUUUCUUAAAAUUAUCUCCUCACCCUGUGUUGGGGUCUUUUUCAGCCCCUCUGCUCAUGCCUGACAUGGGGCAAUAUGACCUAGGACCCUACCAAAGUGAUGGCUUCUGCAGUAUACUCCCUGAUUUUUUUGACAAAGGACUUCUACUACAAAUGAUUUAAUGUAAAUAAAUAGAUUGAAUAAAUAAAGCCAAGUAAUGGAGGAUGCCGCUUCAUUAAGGGAACUUACUUAAAAACCAGUUCCUCCUUCGCCUAUCAGUUAACAGCUGAACACAGAAUUUCCUGUUGUUUUUCUUCUUUCCCCCUCAUAGAGGUUGAUGUCAUCACAGCCACAAAGAAGAAUGAUUUCCUACAGCAAUAGUGGAUCUAUGACGGCAUCAGGAUUACAAAAGCUGUUCUGGAGGCCACAGGUCCCAAAUCAAGGUGUCAGGAAAUCACAACUGAACUAUGCAAACUGCGCGGGGCAGCUGCUGCCAAGAAGAGCGAUACUGUCAUCAGAAGGAGGCGGACCCACGCGGGUGAGCAGGCUCAUGGUGCAGAGGAAGGUGGGGAGUUCCAUCUGGACGUGCCGAGUUGUGACACAGCAGCCCGCAGGUGACCCUGAUGUGGGCACUCCGGCCUCUGGAGCCUGGAGGAACCAACUUUGACAGAACUACUGGUGCCGUGUGUUCAAGGAGGCGCACGUGGGUGGUAGGAACAUGUUUACUCCAGCUGGGCUUGCUUGGAAGCAGGGAGUCUGGUUUGGGGUGGGGGUACAUGGGGGUGCGGGGUCUAAGGGCAUGAAUUUUUGGAAAGCAAGGCAGUGAGGAAAAGGACUGGUUCCUCCCCAGGGCAAGGUCCCUGCAGCUGGAGUGUGAAAUACACCUGUUCUGAUCUUUCAAGCAGAUCAGCAGCUUGACAUCCUCCCACUCCAGAGCCAGCAGCUUUCUUGAAGGAUGGGGCUAGUGUUCGGCUGAAGCUGUCACAGAGUGGCAUUUCUCACAAUAUUUGAAGAGCCCCUGGGAAAUGUUAACCAGAAACUCGGUUGGCUCUUUGACUUCGGUCUUUAUGGUUGAAAACCUUUCUAAAAUGGAUCUGUCUUUUUGCCACUUUAGAGACUAGAAUAACAUCUAAAGUAGCAGAGUUGUGAAAGAUUUAUUAUCUUUUACAAUGCAGAGUGGGUUUAAGAUGAGCGCUCUGAUAUUAUCACUCUCACCCUCUUGCAUUUCUGAUUUGUUUCUGAGAGAUUGGGGUGGAUGGAGUUCCUGGUGACUGCUGGGAUUUGCAUGUGCCCCGCACCCGACAGUGCCUAUGACACACUCUGCUAUAUGUGUCUGCCUCUGAUGUCCCCUGAACAGCUGUGCAUGAAAGUCAUCUGUCCAGUGGGCAGAUAACAGGAAGUAUGGCACAGUGUGAAUGCCACGAGGGCAGGGCUGGUUAGUUCAUGGUUUGACCUCUAAAUCCUGGAAUUAUAACAGUACCCAAUAAGCAUGUUGAAUGCAUGAAAGAACAUGGUUAUUGUAAUUGGAUUGGGGAUCAUUUUGGAUUCUAUAGGUCUUAGGGUUGCCAUUCUGAGCAUUAGUCCUCACUAUCUGGGACCAUAAAUAUAACAUGUAUAGAUAGGACUGGCUACAUAAUUUGUGGGGACCAGUGCAAAAUGAAAAUUUAGAGCCCCUUAUUCAAAAAUUAUUAAGAACCUCAAGACAGGGACAGCAGAACAUUAAAGCAAAUAUGGGGUCCUUCUGAAUGUGGGCCCCCAUGCUCCUGCCUGAGUCCCAUGAAGUCAGACCUAAAGGUAGGAGAUGGAAUGAAAUUUUACUAAUCCUGGCAACUUCUGGAAAUAGCUUUCAGAAAAUUUUUGCAGAAAUCCUUGAAAUGACCUUUUUAUGUGGUUUUCUCUUUUUUUCAUGAAAGAAGAGGGCAAUAUAAAGAUGGAGGGUGUCUGGGGGUGCCUGGGUGGCUCAGUCGGUUAAUUGUCUGACUUCAGCUCAGGUCAUGAUCUCGUGGUUUGUGGGUUCGAGCCCCACA